rnacentral:rRNA from 1 species
UUUCCCUUCGGGGACAGAGUGACAGGUGGUGCAUGGUUGUCGUCAGCUCGUGUCGUGAGAUGUUGGGUUAAGUCCCGCAACGAGCGCAACCCUUGAUCUUAGUUGCCAGCAUUCAGUUGGGCACUCUAAGGUGACUGCCGGUGACAAACCGGAGGAAGGUGGGGAUGACGUCAAAUCAUCAUGCCCCUUAUGACCUGGGCUACACACGUGCUACAAUGGACAGAACAAAGGGCUGCAAGACCGCAAGGUUUAGCCAAUCCCAUAAAUCUGUUCUCAGUUCGGAUCGCAGUCUGCAACUCGACUGCGUGAAGCUGGAAUCGCUAGUAAUCGCGGAUCAGCAUGCCGCGGUGAAUACGUUCCCGGG